rnacentral:rRNA from 1 species
UACAGAGGUGGCAAGCGUUGUUCGGAAUUACUGGGCGUAAAGGGCGCGUAGGCGGUCUUCUAAGUCUUGUGUGAAAUCCCUCGGCUCAACUGAGGAACUGCACGGGAUACUGGAAGACUUGAGUUCGGGAGAGGGAAGCGGAAUUCCUGGUGUAGCGGUGGAAUGCGCAGAUAUCAGGAGGAACACCGGUGGCGAAGGCGGGAUCCUGGGCCAGUACUGACGCUGAGGAGCGAAAGCGUGGGGAGCAACAGG